GCAGUGGUGGUUCACUGGUAGAAUUCUUGCCUUCUAUGCAGAAGACCCAGGUUCAAUUCCUGGCCAAUGCA